GUGAAACCCUAUUAGGCUGGAUACUUAGGAUUUGUGUACUUUUCUGUAUGUAUUUCUACUUCAAAAAAAAAAUUAAUGACAGUAUUCAAAUAAAAAGUUCAAAGUUUUACCUCUUAGAACUGUGAGGAUUAAGAGACCUCAGAUGUAAGGCGCCUGUUUUUGGCAGGCAGGCUGCAUUCAUUAGUUAUUUUCCAGCUCUUAUCAGCUCAUUAGGUGAAAGCCUGAACAUGGAAAUGACCAAACUGGGAGAGGAAAGAAAGAUCAGCAGUCUGCCACCUCCACCGAGAGAGCAGAAGAGUACAAGGAAAAACAUGCAGAGAUGUGGGGUUCAUGUUUCGCUCUUCCACCUCCUGAGCAGGUCCCUUAACCUCUCCGAGGCUCAGCUUCCUAACUGCCCAAAAGACAAGGAUAUUGAGGCCCUAAAAUUAGAGUGACCUAGCCAUCCUGCUGAAGAGUUGCCAGCCCCAUCCAGGGCACCACCCAGACCUCAGACCCCAGGUGGGUGCUUACGACCAUGUAUUAGAAGCUGUCUUUCCUAAAAAGCAGCAACUUCUAUCCAGUGCUAGUUAU
rnacentral:lncRNA from 1 species